AUGGGAAAGGGAGUCCGGCAAAGCCGAGUCCUUCUGGGGAUCGCGUUUCCACUUCCGAUGUUUAGUGGACGUCCGAACGCCCGGACUCCGGGUCCAGGCAAGCGGUUCGAGGGUCCUCUGGGGACGUUGCGCGGCCGCGGAGAAGGGGCCGCGGGCCCCGGCCCCCAGAGUCGCAGGGCCUUGGAGGGUGCGCGCGGCCGCCGCUUAAGACCCUGGCCACCCUCGCCGGUGGGCGUGGCCGGACCGACACCCAGGGUCCCGCAGCCUCCGCCCCGGCCCCGCGGCCCCGCGGGCGAGGUGUGGCCCUCGUGCUGGCGGCGCCCUCCUUCGCGCCGCCCACCGGACUCAGCGGCGACGACCUGGCCUUGUAGCCGCCGAGGCGACCCCGUCCCCAGGGCCCGCGUUUACCCCAUAAGGCUUCCAGAGAAGGUCUCCCGAGGAGGAGAGUACCCUUACAGUUCUGUUACAGGCAGUGGUGAAGAACUCACAGCCAGAACUGGAAGAACCAUGGAGUCACAGUCCCAAAGUAGAACCCCCAGCCUGCACAGGAGCAGCCGUCUGGGGAGGGGGCGGCCCUGCCUGAUCCUGGGACUCGGGGUCUUUCUCUGGAGGAGAGUGGCAGUGACCAGGGGAUGA
ensembl:lncRNA